rnacentral:rRNA from 1 species
ACGAAGGGGGCUAGCGUUGUUCGGAAUUACUGGGCGUAAAGCGUGUGUAGGUGGUUGUCAUAGUCAGGUGUGAAAGCCUUGAGCUCAACUCAAGAAAUGCACUUGAUACUGGGCAGCUAGAGGACCGGAGAGGAUAGUGGAAUUCCCAGUGUAGUGGUGAAAUACGUAGAGAUUGGGAAGAACACCAGUGGCGAAGGCGGCUAUCUGGACGGUUUCUGACACUAAGACACGAAAGCGUGGGGAGCAAACAGGAUUAGAUACCCUGGUAGUCCACGCCGUAAACGAUGGGUGCUAGACGUUGGCGGGCUUGCCCGUCAGUGUCGCAGCUAACGCGUUAAGCACCCCGCCUGGGGAGUACGGCCGCAAGGUUG